rnacentral:tRNA from 1 species
GCUAAAUUAGCUUAGUCGAAAGCCCGCGGCUCUUAACCACGGAGACAGUAGAAAAAUACUACUAUUCAGCAA